rnacentral:sRNA from 1 species
ACUUUGACAUUCAGAU